AAAUGCUUUGCGGCAUUUAGUCCUACUUUAUGUUCCAAGUUCAAAUUCCACUGAGGUCAGCUUGACCUUCAUCCUUUUGGGAUCUAUAAAAUAAGUACCAGCUGACUACUGGGGUUAAUGCAAUUGAUUUAAGCGCCCUCCCCCCACGAACUUGUUGGCCUUGUGCUAAAAUUUGAAACCAGUAUUAUUAGUAUUGCUGUUUUUGCCUGAGAAAAUCUUAAUUUAAUUAACUUAGUCAAAUUAGGAACAAAUGAAGGGAUUGAUGCACAGUAUUGUUAUAGGUGCAGGAGUGUGUGUGUGUGUGUGUGUGUGUGUGUGUGUGUAGUCAUGCAUUGAUUUCUCUAUAGGGAAAACUAGAAGAUGGUGGUGGUGAUAGUCGUGGUGAUAACGAAAAUGUAAAAAGAAUUAGUUUGUGGUGGAACUUCUGAAACAUUUUUCUUUCUAAAUUUCUGAUAAAAUAAAACUACAAUUGUAUUUGAGUGACAUUGUGAGCUGAUAAACAUUGUAAACGAUGUUUAUCCGCCCACUUUUGAAAAUGUCAGCACAUAUUUGACUUUCUGUCUGGGUUUAGCUAAAGAAAUAACAAUAAAAUAAAAUUUUAAACUUCUCCAUGUUUAAAUAUUUUUUGAAAAAA